CAGGGGAACCUUGUCUCAAAAAACAAACAAUCAAAAAGUCCAGGGCCUGUCUGACACAAUUUGAGCUUGCUAUAGCAAAAAAGUCUAACCUAUUCCAGUGUUCUCUUCCUCAUGAGACAAGCCGUUAUAUAGACUCAAAAAAU